GUGCUCGCUUCGGCAACACAUACACUAAAAUUGGAAUGAUAAAGAGAAGAUUAGCAUGGCUGCUGCGCAAGGAUGACAUGCAAAUUUCAUGAAGCGUAAAAAUUAAAA